UGCCAGCAGCCGCGGUAAUACGAAGGGCCCGAGCGUUAAUCGGAAUCACUGGGCUUAAAGCGCGUGUAGGCGGUUCGUUAAGUCUGAUGUGAAAGCCCGGGGCUCAACCCCGGAAGUGCAUUGGAAACUGGCGAACUUGAGUACGGGAGAGGAAAGUGGAAUUCCGAGUGUAGGGGUGAAAUCCGUAGAUAUUCGGAGGAACACCAGUGGCGAAGGCGGCUUUCUGGACCGAUACUGACGCUGAGACGCGAAAGCGUGGGGAGCAAACAGGAUUAGAUA
rnacentral:rRNA from 1 species